AAGCUGUCUUUAUAACUGAGAGAUUUUCUCUUUCAAAACUUGUUUACAUUUUAUUUUAAUAGUUAACUUUUAUUACCUUUCAAUCUUCAAUUGAAUCAGUUGCUAAAUUACAGACAACAAGUCUGCUUUGGCUUGAUAAUAAUCAGUCUAUAUGAUGCUCGGGCUAUUUUUCUUAAUCUUACUACAUUAUGUAUCGUGUCAAGAGUUUGGUUCACUUCCUCCUCGUCCAACUACUGGUGUCAGAUUAUUUCUUGCUGAAGAAAAUGUGACCAUUGCUAAUUUCUCAAUGAUAGCUGCUGGUCUCUUUCAUGAUAUAGAUUCAGAUAGACCUGAUGGUACUGCUACUAAUAUUCCCAUUGGUCCUGAUGGUCAGAAUGAUGGUUUGUGGUGUCAGAGUUCUCUAGUAAUCAGAGAACUUUGUAUUUUAUAUCCCUUAUUAUACUAUAGCUAUCAUCAUUUCCACUUUAAGCAUUAAUUACAGCUAUUGGUAUUGUAAAAUCAUUUUAUGUGAAUGAGUAAAA